AUCUCCUGGCAAUGAGCAAAGAGACAUCUUGUUAUUGGUGUUUUUCUUUUGUCAGAGGUAAAGCAGAUCGCAGUCCUUUGUUUAUCCUAGCUUGAUGUCUGGCAUGGUUGCCAAUCUGUCUUAUGCCUAGGACUCAUAA